rnacentral:SRP_RNA from 1 species
GGUCGGACUCCGCCCAAGACAAGAGGGCUAACUCCGCCAGGUUCGGAAGAAAGCAACGGUAACCUUAUCUUGUUUGUGGCGCGGAUGGCUCGGCCGCC